GUCCUUUAGUCUUGUAUUUAAGGUUUAACCUGCCCUAUGAUUAUUAUUAAAUGGCUGCGGUAUUUUGACCGUGCAAAGGUAGCAUAAUAAUUAGUUUUUUAAAUGGAAACUUGAAUGAAAGGUUGCACAAGGUAUUAACUUUUUUGUUUAAUAUCAAUUGAAUUUAAUAUUUAAGUUAAAAAGCUUAAAUAUUUUAAUAGGACGAGAAGACCCUAUAGAGCUUGAAAAAUAGGUUAGUUAUUUAAAUUUGGAAUAUUAAUAAUUAAUAAUUAAGUUAUUUUUUUGGUUGGGGUGAUUUUUAAAUUUUUUUAACUUUUAUUAUUUUAUUCAAUGAUUUUUGAUUGGUCAUUUGAUCUUGUAUUAUGCAUUAAUAGAUUAAGCUACCUUAGGGAUAACAGCGAUAUUUAUUUGUAGAGUUCUUAUCGAUAAAUAAGAUUUCGA
rnacentral:rRNA from 1 species